UUUUUCCCCGAGAGAUUUCCCAUCACACCUAUCCUCUUCCCCACGCCCGUGACCUCUUUCUUAACGCAGCGCCUCCUCUGCUUCCGAAUCGCAACCUCAUGGCUUCUCCCCCACUUCAUCUUCUCCAAAUUAUUUAUUAAAUCGUGGCAGUGGAAGGGAUGCAUCUCUUUAUUUAGCGAUCAAUUGAUCACAUCAGAGCUAUGAGGCGGAGAGGUCAAGGUGCAGACUGGUGCCGAGGUGGAGCGCCGGCUAGGAGCAGCGACCUCCUCCUCAGUGGUCAUGUUUGAUCUGUUGGCGUCGCUGCUCGUAGCCAUGGAUUCCUCCUCCCACCGGUGACAGCAUCAGGCCACACCCCGCCGCAGACUGCACCUUCCUCGAUCCGGGUACAUUGGUGAGAGAGCCCAGCGGGUGUGUUCCCCACCAUAUCCCGCCUUACGUGGCGAAAACAGAGCGGAAUUGUCCUGUCCAAUAAUCUUAGCAGACAACCAUGCCGACCCCCGCGAUCGCUGGAAGCACGACAAGGAGAGGGAUGACUCCUGCCAUCAUCAAAUUCUGAAGUGAGGAGUUGUGCCAGCCCCUUUUGCAACCGAGCUUAGCUGGCCUCGCUCCCUUCCCGAGCUUCCAAAUUUCGCUUCAAUGCAGCCCAAAGAAAAGGUGAGAAAUAUAUGAGAUUUUGUUCUGCUGCAUCAUUGGAAAUUUUCAUCCAAAAUCUGCUGGGUGUCGUAGAAUAGAAUUGUGAGCAUCCAGCAUUUGAUAAGGUGAGAAUACUGUACUGUGUUUUUCUGAAGAUGUUGUGUUCAGAACUUUUGCCAUGGUAUUUUGUACAAAGUCCUCAUUGUUGUAGUUCAAUUAGAAACAAGCAACUAAUUGUGUUUGCUUAAUUCUUGGUUAAUCACAACAAUAACCUACAAAAGCAAAUAAUUUUAUUACCAUGGUUUUGACGUCUUAUCAGCUGAUUGCUGUUUUAGAGGAUGAUGACAGGGAGACACCGGUGAUAGCAAAAUAAUUCUUAGGAUAAUAUAGCGGAAGGACCAAAGAAUCAAGUACAGUACAAAGAAAUCCAUGACGGUCGAUUCAUGGCACAUAUGAACAUCCAUGUACUUCAAACAAUUGGGUUAUCAUGUAUAUCCUUGUUUUCCACCAUGGAUGGUUAAACACUGAGAAGUUAUAUUGUGACAUAUAAUAAUGUAAGGAUUUUCUGUAACCUGAAGCCCUCUUACUGGAUUAGCUUCGAGAGGUAUGCUGUUAUCAACUUUGAAGCCCUUUUAAUUACAGAACGGUAUAUACUUUUGUUAAGCAUGUUUUCCGUUCACUUGCAUUUCAUAAAAUAUUUAUUAACUUGACUUGACAUAUAUGUUCUUUUAGGAGGGAGGAAGGUUUAGAUGUUCUGUAUUGAGAAUGUUAGUUGCAUCUACAUGGCUGUAGUGUAUUAGUAUCUCAGUUCACUGUCUUCUAAUAAUGAUGGUUGCAAAUUAUUAGCAAUCUCAAGUGCCAAUAGUAGCAGUCAUUCAUGGGUGCCAUUCAGCUGGUAAGACGAUAUUGCUUUUACUCUGAUGGUGUCAAAGUCACUAUAUGCAAAGAUUUGUAGGUAAUUGUGUGCUGAAAGUUUCUCUAUAAUUUGCUUGCAUUCUUCUACGGUGUCACUUAAUGUUGUAACCUGAAAGUGCACAUAAUUUAUCGCUUCAUGUUGUGUUUGUUUUUCAUCUUGCAUUCUGUUUGUCCUUCGCAAGUUAAGUUUUCAUGCUUAUUCCACUAAGGGCUAUAGUUUCUCUUCUGUUAUUCAUGUUAUCAAGAUAUUGGCUAAUUUGAGUCUAAGCAGAAAGAAGCUGGCUGGCCAAGUUCAUUCUUGAUUAAAAUGUUAUACUAUUGAGCCAAAACAUGAUAGGUAUUUAGGGGCAGUGAUUUUAUGUUCGGAUUUCGUUCACAUGUAUUUCAGGAGGGAAAUUGCGCAACAAGAAAUCCUUCUGUUUGAUCAUUAA